UAGUCCACGCUCCGAGCCAACGAUCAGAGUUUCCUUCUUUUAGCGCCAGGCCAACAUCCUAGGUCGGAUCUGAUACUGCCCCCAGACUCGGUGCCCGACGGCUUUCAGAUUAACCAGGACCGCCCAACCCGCGUUCCUUUGCGCUCCGCGGUCCUGAGGGCAAACGCACCACCCCAGCUCGCCCGAGGGGACUGGCUCCCAACCUCACCGCGCCGCUCUGCGCACCUCCAGCCCGAGAAAACCGGCCUUUCCCGCGCCGCUACCAACGUGGACAUGGCAAAGAAAAGAAAUACCUAGGCGCUGCUCCGAGAUUUUCGCUGUCAAGAUCCCAGGAAGCUCACUCGCCGCCACACGGAGGCUGACAGGAGGAAGUCGGGGGUCAGCGAGCGCCGCCCUAACCGCACCAGCCGCGCUCGCCCCCCGCCCAGCACGCCCGUGCUUCCGGCUCUCACCCCCUCCCUUGCCCCAUGCCCGGCAUCCUGAGAAGUGCUUCGCACCGGGCAGUCACCACACACCACACAAACGGAGAAGGGACGCUCCUCGACGCCGCAGUCUCCGCACGGCCUACCAGGCCCAACACGGCCGGAAGAAAAUGGAGACCACACUCCCCUCCGGUCCGGACAAACCGAUGCACCGUCUCUCUGCUCAUGCGCAAUCCAGGCCCAACCAGCCACCCCUUGGCGCUCUGAACGCGCGUGCGCAGACGUACUGCUUCGGUUACAGUGAUUGGCGGGUCUCAGCGGACUCACCGAGGAGGCUGCUGGGGAGCUGGAGACUGCGGACCCAGGAUAUGGGUACCAUGGUGACGCGUACAAGGCCUGUGGCGGCCAUGGCGGUCAGAUCUCGUUCUUCAUCCCGGACUGGCACCGCCUACCUUCUCUUAGUUCUCUGCGAAGUCUCAUGGGCACAAAUCUUCUCCUUCCCUUUCCGGCGGCCUGAGACCUGCGACUUCAACCAGUACUUUGACAUCUCGGCGCUCUCCUGUGCCCCCUGUGGCGCCAACCAGCGGCGGGAUGCACUAGGAACUUCCUGUGUAUGUCUACCAGGAUAUCAUAUGAUCUCUAAUAAUGGAGGACCUUCUAUUAUUUGUAAAAAGUGUCCAGAAAACAUGAAAGGCGUUACUAAAGAUGGCUGGGACUGCAUUUCUUGUCCUAGUGGCUUAACUGCUGAGGGGAAGUGCCACUGUCCCACUGGCCAUAUAUUAGUGGAAAGAAAUGUUAGUGGGUCUUUGUUAGCCCAAGCAACUUGCGAGCUUUGUGAUGAAAGUGAAAACUCAUUUACAAAAGCCAAUGCUUUAGGAACCAGGUGUGUCCGCUGCGAACCAACAUUUGUGAAUACAAGCAGGUCCUGUUCAUGUUCAGAGCCUCACACUUUAACAGGUGGAUUAUGUUUCAGCAACACAGGGAAUUUUCAUCAACGUGUAAUUUCCACUGCACGUUAUGGAGAGCUUGGCAUGUCAUUAAAUUCAGAAUGGUUUGCCAAGUAUUUGCAGGCAACAGCAGCUGCAUGCUGGACUCACGCCAACCUGACAUCGUGCCAAGCUCUUGGAAAUAUGUGCGUGAUGAACAUGAACUCUUACGACUCGACCACACUCGAUGCUUGUCGACUGUUCCAUUACAUCUUUGAAAGCACUGCUGGAUUGAUCAGUGUGCAUUCUGUUCCAUUCUGGAGACAGAACCUUCCUUGGCUGUUCUAUGGAGACCAGCCAGGAUUGGCUCCUCAAGUUCUCAGUACUACACCUCUUCCUACAAAUUUCAGUUUUAAAGGACAAAACCAGCUGAAGUUUGUUGCUGCUUCCUAUGAUAUACGAGGAAACUUCAUCAAAUGGCAACCUUUAGAAGGUGGUGUUUUACAGCUUUGUCCAGACACUGAGAGAAGGCUGGAUGCAGCGUAUGCUUUUGGAACAACGUACCAGCAAAAUUGUGAAAUCUCUCUCUCUAAACUCCUGGUUGACUUCAGCAGCCCUGUAUUUUAUGAUGUUUACCUCGAAUACACUGAUGAAGAGCAGCACCGUUACCUUUGGCCUAUCCCAGUGUUAAACCUAAAUCUUCAACACAACAAACUGUUUGUGAACCAAGACAGUAGCUCCAGCAAGUGGCUUCUGACUCGGCGCAUUUUCUUAGUGGAUGCAGUAAGUGGGCGAGAAAAUGACCUAGGAAAUCAGCCAAGAGUAAUUCGAGUUGCUACCCAGAUUUCACUGAGCAUACGCCUUGUACCCAACACAAAAAAUGGAAACAUAUACACUCCCCUACUUACCAUUGCCUACAGUGACAUUGACAUCAAAAAUGCUCAUAGCCAGUCUGCGAAGCCCUGACAAAGGCUGUGUUUGAGUUUUGAGCACCCAGCUGUCCUUCACAUAUGUGACAUGUCCUCGGUAGCCUCAGCAGCUGGGUCCACUUCCUGACUCACCAAGCAGAUUUCCUUCUCAGUGAAGUAUGAGAUGAAUCAAGGAGACGCAUCUGUGCACACAGAUAUUGCGUUGGGUGUGUUGGGUGGGCUGGCUGUGCUAUCAUCUCUUUUGAAGACAGCGGGAUGGAAGAGGCGCAUCGGGAGCCCCAUGAUUGAUUUACAGACAGUUAUGAAAUUCCUGCUGUACUAUGCUGGUGAUCUGGCCAAUGUGUUUUUUAUCAUCACAGUGGGAACAGGUCUUUAUUGGCUUAUUUUCUUCAAAGCACAGAAGUCAGUCUCUGUUUUGCUGCCGAUGCCAGUUCAGGAAGAACGUUUCGUUACUUAUGUGGGGUGCGCCUUUGCUAUGAAGGCUCUCCAGUUUUUACAUAAGUUCAUAUCCCAGAUUUCCAUAGAUAUAUUCUUUAUUGAUUGGGAACGGCCGAAAGGAAAAGUUCUUAAAGCUGUUGAAGGUGAGGGUGGUGUGCGGAGUGCCACUGUUCCUGUGAGCAUAUGGAGAACGUAUUUCGUGGCAAAUGAAUGGAAUGAGAUUCAGACUGUGAGAAAAAUUAAUCCACUCUUUCAAGUGCUUACCACACUCUUCUUCUUGGAGGUUGUGGGAUUCAAAAAUUUAGCGUUAAUGGAUUCAUCCUCCAGCCUUUCUAGAAACCCAUCAGACUACACAGCUCCUUACAGCCGCAUUCUGAGAUAUGCCGUGGCUACUGCUAUCUGGCUGGUGAUUGGAAUAAUACAGGUUGUUUUCUUUGCUGCCUUUUAUGAGAGAUUCAUAGAAGACAAAAUCCGGCAGUUUGUUGACCUGUGCUCCAUGAGUAAUGUGUCAGUGUUCCUGCUGUCCCACAGAUGUUUUGGAUAUUACAUUCAUGGGAGGUCAGUCCACGGCCAUGCAGACACUAACAUGGAGGAAAUGAAUAUGAACCUUAAGAGAGAGGCGGAAAAUUUGUGCAGCCAAAGAGGUUUGGUGCCCAACACGGAUGGGCAGACGUUUCAGAUUGCAGUUUCUAGUCAGAUGAGACAACACUAUGACAGGAUUCAUGAGACUUUAACAAGGAGAAAUGGCCCUGCCAGACUGCUGAGUUCGUCGGGGAGUACUUUUGAACAAAGCAUCAAAGCAUACCACGCAAUGAAUAAGUUCCUUGGCUCUUUCAUUGACCACGUUCAUAAGGAAAUGGAUUACUUUAUAAAAGAUAAGUUGCUUCUUGAAAGAAUCCUUGGGAUGGAAUUCAUGGAGCCCAUGGAGAAGAGCAUCUUCUAUAAUGAUGAAGGCCAUUCUUUCAGCAGUGUGCUGUAUUAUGGGAACGAGGCCACGCUCCUCAUCUUUGAUCUGUUGUUCUUCUGUGUUGUGGAUUUGGCUUGCCAGGACUUUGUUUUAGCAUCCUUCCUCACAUACCUGCAACAAGAGAUUUUCCGAUUUAUCCGAAAUACAGUAGGACAAAAGAAUUUGGCAACCAAAACACUAGUGGAUGAAAGAUUUCUGAUCUAAUCUGUGAAUACAGAACUUAAGGACUCAGUAUAAUAUGGCCAAGACUUGAUGUUGCUAUAUUUUUUAAAACUUGUAAUACAUAUUAUUCUCCCAUUUUUUAUCUACAGAAAGAUUUAUUUUUAUAGCUUGUGAAAUAUGAAAUAUAGUAAAAACACUCUUUCCCCAUUAUAUGUUGUAUUUAAUUUACUAAAUAGUACAUUAACACUGACCAGGAGGCAAACAUACAAACAAACAAAAACAAACAAGCCCCUCCCAGCCCCACUUUCUGUGCUGUCCCGGGUCUUGACAGCAGGCUGAAACUUGCCAUUGUUUCAGAACAUGACCUGCCUGCUUUUCCUCACGGUGUCAAAUCUAUUUGAUUCUAGGCUCAAAACUACAGUUCUGCUCCGUAUUUUCAUGUUUUAUUUAUAUUCAAGGUUAAAUAAAUUUCAAAAGGUAUUUUCAAAUUUACUUAAAA